CGGCCCCCGGCACCCCUGGGCCCCCCCUGCCCGCCCCCGCCGACGUCUUCUGGGCCAGCCUGGUGCAGGCCCAGCUCUGCGUCUGGGACCUGCAGGGGGCCAUCGAUGGGGACACCGUGGCACCCACGGUGGUGGCACCCAUGGUGGUGGCACCCAUGGUGGUGGUGGCACCGGUGGUGGUGGUGGUGGCACCCACGGGUCCGACCCCGGCCACCAGGGGGGCUCUCAGCAGCGCGUCCCCACCCAUGGGACCUCCUCCUCUGAGCCCGUCCCCGUAUAUGGGGGUUCCCCAGGGAGCCGCGUGGGCACCCAUGGGUGCUCCGAGCCCCCGAGCACCCUGAUGGAGCAGCCGGGCUGGGAGAGCUUCGCACCCGUGGGUGUGGGUGGGGGCACCUCACACGAGCACGUGGGCACCCGUGGGACCACCACGGCCACCCACGGGACCACCUCCUCUGAGUCCAUCUUCACCUAUGGGAGCACUUCUCAGGAGCACGUGGCCACCCAUGGGACCACCUUGGCCACCUAUGGGACCACCUUGACCACCCACGGGACCACCUUGGCCACCUAUGGGACCGCCUCCUCCGAAUCCAUCUUCACCUAUGGGAGCACUUCUCAGGAGCACCUGGCCACCCAUGGGACCACCUUGGCCACCCAUGGGACCACCUUGGCCACCCAUGGGACCACCUCCUCCGAGUCCAUCUUCACCUAUGGGAGCACUUCAUAUGAGCAUGGGGGCACCCAUGGAACCACCUCCUCCGAGCCCAUCUUCAUGUACGGGACCACCCCACACGAGCCCGUGGCCACCCAUGGGACCACCACCCCCGAGCCCACCCCCACGUCCAGGAGCACCCCCCACGAGCCCACCCACGGGACCGUCUCGCCCCACUCCGUGCCCAUGGGUGGGGGCAUCUCCUGUGAGCACCCACCGCCCGCUGGGACCGCGUCACCCAUGGGUGGCUGCUUCUCCUACAAGGACAUGGCGCUGGGUGCAGGAUUCUGGCAGGAGCCCCGUGGGUGCGGGGCCGUGGGCAGGAGCAUCUUGCAUGAGCACGUGCCCACCUUCGGGACCACCGCGCCCAAAUCCGUGCCCACCCACGGGACCACGUCCUGGGCGCGUGUCCCAGCAGAUGGAAGCGCCUGGGCCGAGCCCGCGCCCCCAGAUGGGACCAUGUGGAGCAGGGCCUCCCCCGUGGGUGACCCCAACGUGUGGGAGCAUGGCCCAGGUGGGGACACCUCGACCAUGGCGUGGGAGCCUCCUCCAGCGGGUGGCACCGCGGGGACCAAGGCUGUGCCCAAGGAGGACGCCAGCUCAUGGGGACACGUCCCAACAGAUGGCACCACCUUGACCAAGUCCAUGCCCAUGGAUGGGAGCAUCUCAACCAAAUCCAUGCCCACGGAUGGCACCACGUCAUGGGAGCGUGUUCCAAUGGAUGGGAACAUCUCGACCAAAUCCAUGCCGAUGGAUGGCACCAUGUCAUGGGAGCACGUCCCAGCCGAUGGGAACAUCUCCACCAAGUCCAUGCCCACGGAUGGGAUCUC
rnacentral:lncRNA from 1 species